rnacentral:rRNA from 1 species
GACAGAGGGUGCAAACGUUGUUCGGAUUUACUGGGCGUAAAGGGCGCGUAGGCGGCGCAACAAGUCACUUGUGAAAUCUCCGGGCUUAACUCGGAACGGUCAAGUGAUACUGUUGUGCUAGAGUGCGGAAGGGGCAACUGGAAUUCUCGGUGUAGCGGUGAAAUGCGUAGAUAUCGAGAGGAACACCUGCGGCGAAGGCGGGUUGCUGGGCCGACACUGACGCUGAUGCGCGAAAGCCAGGGGAGCGAACGGG